UACAGAGGUGGCAAGCGUUGUUCGGAAUUACUGGGCGUAAAGGGCGCGUAGGCGGUUCGUUAAGUCCUGUGUGAAAUCCCCCGGCUCAACUGGGGAACUGCACAGGAAACUAGCGGGCUUGAGUUCGGGAGAGGGAAGCGGAAUUCCGGGUGUAGCGGUGAAAUGCGUAGAUAUCUGGAGGAACACCGGUGGCGAAGGCGGCAUCCUGGACCGGUAUUGACGCUGAGGCGCGAAAGCCAGGGGAGCAAACGGG
rnacentral:rRNA from 1 species